CAGUGUUGUUUCCAUGGCAACACAGGAAUAGGUUUCUGAGCAGUCACUACCCGUUCUGUCACCGUGGCAACGUUUGGCUUCUAUCCAGAGUUUGGGGGUAUUUUGUUUCCUUUCGGGGAGCAUUUCAGGUUGAUCACCCGCAGAAGGCGCCACUCCACUUCAGCUUCUAGACAACAACUCCCCCCGUGUUUGCUCCCCUAAUUCAUUUCGACGAGUGCCUUGCGAUUAAGGGAUUCACUGCUGUGGCGGAUGAUGGGGAUCCUUCAUCUCCCUGACUCAUUCCUGUCGAAAGCGAGGGGUGUUCGGUCAGCCUCGCCCUCGAGGUCGGAUUGCUGUUCCCUCAGCGGCGUGACCUAUGCCAAACGAUGUCUCACACGCGCUGCCUGCGUGUGGCCACUCUGUGGGAGUGACCGCUCCUCAUUCACAGGCUGUGAUCACUGUUGGGGAAAGUCCGUUUCCACCCGGCCCGCUCGUCAAGAGCCUGACCCACUGGUUUGACUGGAUCUUGUAAGCAGGAGAUCAGCGAGGACUCUUCUCCUCAAGCCUGCUGAGAGCUACAGUUCAGGGACAGAGGGGUCGUAGAGGAAGGUAGGGAAAGUAUCCGGGCACAGGGUGCGGUGCUCGUAUUACCAGUAGGACUGGCGGGUAGUAAGACAUUUUAUUCUUCCUCUGCUCUUCCACAGAAGCCUUGCACAUUGGUUGUCUCAGCUUCUGCAAUGUGCCUAGCUGGGAUGGUUCGCAAUCCUCAUCUCAGGGAAGAACGAUAGAAAUCUUAGACGUCUUCAUCUACCACACUGCCCUCUCUGGAGCUCGGUUGUUCUGAAACAAGGGCACUUUUCAGACAGCACUUUCAUGUGCUAUAGGCAUCAUUAGGCUUUGGGUCUGAUUUACCCGUGAGAGUGAGGGUAUGAAUAUUCAGUGGUUUGUAAGAGCCGUGGAAUUUUCGAUGGUAAAGAUCAAAUUCUCAGGGACAGGAGAUAAGUCUGCUGCAGCUCGGGAGGUUUGGGUUUUUACAGUGGAAAACACAUGGAUGGGCUCAGAUUGUGGACUGGUUAUGUCACAUUUAUUAACCCUGUUGCAGACAAACCUGAAGUUACAAUAAUAGCAGAUGAAAUCAUCUUCUGCUUGAGCAUCGGAGACCAUCGCCUUGCACAAACCAGGCAGCCCAUUCCAAAGAAGGUCUGUAUUCCGCUUUAUUGCCACGUAAGAAAUGUAAAUAUUGUACAGUGAAUAUAGAUAGGUUACAAAUCAACAUUCUGAGAGAAACCCCCAAACAGUCAACAGAAAAUCAGAGUAGGCAGAGAAA